rnacentral:rRNA from 1 species
GAUGAACGCUGGCGGCGUGCCUAAUACAUGCAAGUCGAGCGAACAGACGAGGAGCUUGCUCCUCUGACGUUAGCGGCGGACGGGUGAGUAACACGUGGAUAACCUACCUAUAAGACUGGGAUAACUUCGGGAAACCGGAGCUAAUACCGGAUAAUAUAUUGAACCGCAUGGUUCAAUAGUGAAAGACGGUUUUGCUGUCACUUAUAGAUAGAUCCGCGCCGCAUUAGCUAGUUGGUAAGGUAACGGCUUACCAAGGCAACGAUGCGUAGCCGACCUGAGAGGGUGAUCGGCCACACUGGAACUGAGACACGGUCCAGACUCCUACGGGAGGCAGCAGUAGGGAAUCUUCCGCAAUGGGCGAAAGCCUGACGGAGCAACGCCGCGUGAGUGAUGAAGGUCUUCGGAUCGUAAAACUCUGUUAUUAGGGAAGAACAAAUGAGUAAGUAACUAUGCACGUCUUGACGGUACCUAAUCAGAAAGCCACGGCUAACUACGUG